GACCAUCGAAUGCAUAGAAACUGAUACUAAUGCAACCACAUUUAGCUCAAAAAGGUUUAUAGCUUCCCGUAAACUUUGGAGUUCUUUGUGCCUUAGACCGUUGGAUCGAACCUUUUGAUUCUUGGUCAAGUACCGUACAUUCAUCAUUGGACGUAACGAUUCUUGUUCCACCGCCAGGUUCACUGUCGUAUUUUAGAUGGUUUCCGGCUUCAGGAAACUGUUCCGACACGGGCGUUCUAUCCGCUGAUGGUCCAGAAAAAUGCGAGUUGGCGUCGAGGGAAUCGAACCCACGAUCUUGGGGGUUGCGCCACAAUGCGCUAACCACUGAGUUACGGUGAAAAACUCACACUCUCAUUCUAUAAAUUACAUUCAAAACUUUUGUUAAACCCACCCUACCUACUUAUUUAAUGCACCCUCGACUGUGGCAGCUUUGCCAGCCAAUGACCGGCGCACCUUGCUUUUUUCGCAAGGGCACCCUUUAGAGUUCCCGUUAU